UAAAACGUAGGGGGCGAGCGUUGUCCGGAAUUACUGGGCGUAAAGGGCACGCAGGCGGUACGCCAAGUCGGGGGUGUAAAGUUACGGCUCAACCGUGACCUUGCAAUCGAUACUGGCGUACUGGAGUGCGGGAGAGGGAAGUGGAAUUCCCGGUGUAGCGGUGAAAUGCGUAGAUAUCGGGAGGAACGCCAGUGGCGAAGGCGGCUUCCUGGCCCGCGACUGACGCUCAUGUGCGAAAGCCAGGGGAGCGAACCGG
rnacentral:rRNA from 1 species